UACAGAGGGUGCGAGCGUUAAUCGGAAUUACUGGGCGUAAAGCGUGCGUAGACGGUAAUGUAAGUCAGAUGUGAAAGCCCCGGGCUUAACCUGGGAAUUGCUUUUAAGACUGUCGGGCUAGAAUCCAGAAGAGGGUAGUGGAAUUCCGAGUGUAGAGGUGAAAUUCGUAGAUAUUCGGAAGAACACCAGUGGCGAAGGCGACUACCUGGUCUGGCAUUGACGCUCAUGUGCGAAAGCGUGGGGAGCAAACAGG
rnacentral:rRNA from 1 species